AUGGCGGAAUCUUUACCUCUCAGAUUCGGUGUAAUACUGACGCAAAGGGCGGGAUGCAAUCGCCUUGUUAUAAAUUCGGAUAAUAUGGAGCUGAUUGAAACUAUGAAUGAUGGAGGACAGUCGGUGGGUGCGGCGGCAGCAAUUUUCAAUGAUUGUUAUUAUUAUGCUAAUGGUUUCGUUACUGCUAGAUUUGAGCAUUAUAAUGGGGAAGCAAACAAAGUAGCUCAUGGGCUUGCUAGAUUAGCUAGAUUUUCUUUGACUCCCGAUUGGUUUGAGGAGCCUUUAAAUGAAAUUGUAAUGAGUUUUUUUUAA
rnacentral:rRNA from 1 species